UACGGAAGGGGCGAGCGUUGUUCGGAAUCAUUGGGCGUAAAGGGCGUGUAGGUGGUUCUGUAUGUCUACCGUGAAAGCGUACGGCUCAACCGUAUUUAGUCGGUAGAAACUGCAGGACUUGAGGCUGGGAGGGGCCGGUGGAAUUCCCCGUGUAGCGGUGAAAUGCGUAGAGAUGGGGGAGAACACUCGUGGCGAAGGCGGCCAGCUAGACCAGUUCUGACACUGAGGCGCGACAGCGUGGGGAGCAAACAGG
rnacentral:rRNA from 1 species